GACGAACGCUGGCGGCGUGCUUAACACAUGCAAGUCGAACGGACAGGCCCUGCUUUUGUGGGGUGCUCGAGUGGCGAACGGGUGAGUAACACGUGAGUAACCUGCCCUUGACUUUGGGAUAACUUCAGGAAACUGGGGCUAAUACCGGAUAGGAGCUCCUGCUGCAUGGUGGGGGUUGGAAAGUUUCGGCGGUUGGGGAUGGACUCGCGGCUUAUCAGCUUGUUGGUGGGGUAGUGGCUUACCAAGGCUUUGACGGGUAGCCGGCCUGAGAGGGUGACCGGCCACAUUGGGACUGAGAUACGGCCCAGACUCCUACGGGAGGCAGCAGUGGGAAAUAUUGCACAAUGGGCGGAAGCCUGAUGCAGCAACGCCGCGUGCGGGAUGACGGCCUUCGGGUUGUAAACCGCUUUCGCCUGUGACGAAGCGUGAGUGACGGUAAUGGGUAAAGAAGCACCGGCUAACUACGUG
rnacentral:rRNA from 1 species